AUUACUUUAGUAUUCAUGUUUAUGUGAGAAAUGAAAAACUAAGAAAAAAUAAGAAAGGGGUGUGAAUUGAUAAAUGGAUAAGUUGACAGCCUCAUUAGAUAUCUUGGGAGAUGGUGGACAGACCGGGUCCAUAGAGAAGCCUACCAGGAAUGUUGUCUCAUACCGGACGGGGUAUUGAGACUUUAAAUAUUUUAGUACUCAUACCGGACGGGGUAUGGGGACGGCCUGUUUCACCCUCAUACCGGACGGGGUAUUGAGGUUUAUUGUUUGACGCCCAUACAGGACGGGGUAUGGGAUGGUCCCGAAAAUUAAGUUUGUUAAGGAAAUGGUUCACGUGUAGCGGGGACCCUUAUGGAUCCCCAUGGAUACUAGUAGGCUGAUAAAAAAGGGGCAACUGUUGUUUGAUGAUUGAAAUAUAAAAGUAUGACAUGUGUUAUGUUACAGAUUAUGUAUGAAUUCAUGAUAUCUAUGAUGUUGUUGUUUUCAUGGGUUAUUUUUAUAAAUCUCACUGAGGUAAGUGGACAGUUAAUAGUUUGAUUAUUGAUAAAUAAAUUUAUUCAGAAUUUGUGCUCCGUUGGUUUUUUAUGGUUUUUUACCAAUCUUUACUUAUGUGACAAUGAUAUAGUAUGAUGCCUUUACUGGGCUAGUAGAUGCCUAGAUGUUUAUUAGUUUCCUUAUAGCCUUUCAUUUCUAAUAU
rnacentral:lncRNA from 1 species